GUCUUCAGAAGAUGACAACCCGUGGGGCGUAAGUAAUAAAGAGUCUGAAAGAUGCCAGAUAAGAGUAGCCACUUAUUGGCAAUAUCCAUACCAGAAUAAUUUAUUAUGAUCGUGCGGACGUUAAAAUCAGGU
rnacentral:ribozyme from 1 species